GAUGAACGCUAGCGGCAGGCCUAAUACAUGCAAGUCAAACGGGUAGCAAUACCAGUGGCGUACGGGUGCGUAACGCGUAUGUAACCUACCUUUCACAGGAGAAUAACUCGGAGAAAUCAGGGCUAAUAUUCCAUAAUACAGGGGCACGGCAUCGUGAUAUUGUUAAAGCUACGGUGGCGAAAGAUGGGCAUGCGUUGGAUUAGCUAGUUGGUGAGGUAAUGGCUCACCAAGGCUGUGAUCCAUAGGGGUUCUGAGAGGAAGAUCCCCCACACUGGCACUGAGAUACGGGCCAGACUCCUACGGGAGGCAGCAGUGGGGAAUAUUGGACAAUGGGCGAAAGCCUGAUCCAGCAAUGCCGCGUGAGUGAUGAAGGCCUUAGGGUUGUAAAGCUCUUUUGCCAGGGAUGAUAAUGACAGUACCUGAGAAUAAGCUCCGGCUAACUCCGUGCCAGCCGCCGCGGUAA
rnacentral:rRNA from 1 species